CCUACGGGCGGCAGCAGUGAGGAAUAUUGGUCAAUGGGCGCGAGCCUGAACCAGCCAAGUCGCGUGAGGGAAGACGGUCCUAUGGAUUGUAAACCUCUUUUGUCGGGGAGCAAAAGACGACACGCGUGGCGUUCCGAGAGUACCCGAAGCAAAAGCAACGGCUAACUCCGUGCCAGCAGCCGCGGUAAUACGGAGGAUGCGAGCGUUAUCCGGAUUUAUUGGGUUUAAAGGGUGCGCAGGCGGAAGAUCAAGUCAGCGGUAAAAUUGAGAGGCUCAACCUCUUCGAGCCGUUGAAACUGGUUUUCUUGGGUGAUCGAGAAGUAUGCGGAAUGCGUGGGGUAGCGUGAAAAGGCGUAAAUAUAUGUAAGAACACCAGUGGCGAAGGCGGCUUGCUGGGUCGAUACUGACAUUGAGGCACGAAAGCGUGGGGAUCGAACAGGAUUAGAUACCCAGUAGUC
rnacentral:rRNA from 1 species